rnacentral:rRNA from 1 species
AUAACAGGUCUGUGAUGCCCUUAGAUGUUCUGGGCCGCACGCGCGCUACACUGACUGGUUCAACGAGUUGUUAUUCCUUUGCUCCGAAAGGCAUGGGUAAUCUGUGAACGCCAGUCGUGAUGGGGAUAGAUUCUUGGAAUUAAAAUCUUCAACGAGGAAUUCCUAGUAAACGCAUGUCAUCAACAUGCAUUGAUUACGUCCCUGCCCUUUGUACACACCGCCCGUCGCACCUACCGAUUGAAUGGUCCGGUGAAAUUUUCGGAUCGUGACCCCAUCCUUCACGGGACGGGGGCACGAAAAGUUAAUUAAACCUUACCAUUUAGAGGAAGGUGAAGUCGUAACAAGGUUUCCGUAGGUGAACCUGCAGAAGGAUCA